AGGAUGAACGCUAGCGGCAGGCCUAAUACAUGCAAGUCGGACGGGAUUGAGAAGCUUGCUUUUCAUGAGAGUGGCGCACGGGUGCGUAACACGUAUGUAACCUACCUUUAUCAGGGGGAUAGCCUCUCGAAAGAGAGAUUAAGCCCGCAUAAAAUCACAGCACGGCAUUGUGCAAUGAUCAAAUAUUUAUAGGACGAAGAUGGGCAUGCGGAACAUUAGCUAGUUGGUAAGGUAACGGCUUACCAAGGCUACGAUGUUUA
rnacentral:rRNA from 1 species